rnacentral:tRNA from 2 species
GCCUCGGUAGCUCAGGGGUAGAGCGGCUGCCUCGUAAGCAGCAGGCCGGGGGUUCAAUUCCCUCCCGAGGCU